CCUCUUUCACCCCGCGCCGGGGCAUCCUAUAUUGGUCAGGUCGGGCAACCGACUAUGGCGAUAAACGGACCGUGGAAUAAGCGUUGCGGACCCGGGGGCAGUACCCGGCGCCUCCACCAGAUUUCCCCGUCCGGCGGAGCUCCUCUCACCGGGAGCGGCAACACCGUCGGCGGGACUUAAGGGGGCGAAACAGGAUCGACGCGCGUGGUAAAGAUGGAACUUUCGCCCGGCAUGGUACCGCCGUUAUCGGGCUAAAACUGAUAGUUGCCAACGACAACUACGGUGAGGCUCGCCUCGCUGCCUAACGGCAGAAGGUAAGCCGACUAUAAGUCCCGAGCCUUCACACGUUCGGGCGGGGUCCGGGGGGCGCCUGGCAACAGAAGCCCCCCACU
rnacentral:tmRNA from 1 species